rnacentral:rRNA from 1 species
GACGAACGCUGGCGGCGUGCUUAACACAUGCAAGUCACGGGGGCCCGCAAGGGCAACCGGCGAACGGGUGCGUAACACGUGAACAACCUGCCCUCGUGUGGGGGAUAGCCAUGCUAACGCGUGGGUAAUACCGCAUACGGUCCUUUGGGGGAGUCCCUGGGGGAAGAAAGCUCCGGCGCACGGGGAGGGGUUCGCGGCCUAUCAGCUAGUUGGGGGUAGGUA